rnacentral:rRNA from 1 species
UUGAUCCUGGCUCAGGAUGAACGCUAGCUACAGGCUUAACACAUGCAAGUCGAGGGGCAGCAUGGUCUUAGCUUGCUAAGGCCGAUGGCGACCGGCGCACGGGUGAGUAACACGUAUCCAACCUGCCGUCUACUCUUGGACAGCCUUCUGAAAGGAAGAUUAAUACAAGAUGGCAUCAUGAGUCCGCAUGUUCACAUGAUUAAAGGUAUUCCGGUAGACGAUGGGGAUGCGUUCCAUUAGAUAGUAGGCGGGGUAACGGCCCACCUAGUCUUCGAUGGAUAGGGGUUCUGAGAGGAAGGUCCCCCACAUUGGAACUGAGACACGGUCCAAACUCCUACGGGAGGCAGCAGUGAGGAAUAUUGGUCAAUGGGCGAGAGCCUGAACCAGCCAAGUAGCGUGAAGGAUGACUGCCCUAUGGGUUGUAAACUUCUUUUAUAAAGGAAUAAAGUCGGGUAUGCAUACCCGUUUGCAUGUACUUUAUGAAUAAGGAUCGGCUAACUCCGUGCCAGCAGCCGCGGUAAUACGGAGGAUCCGAGCGUUAUCCGGAUUUAUUGGGUUUAAAGGGAGCGUAGAUGGAUGUUUAAGUCAGUUGUGAAAGUUUGCGGCUCAACCGUAAAAUUGCAGUUGAUACUGGAUAUCUUGAGUGCAGUUGAGGCAGGCGGAAUUCGUGGUGUAGCGGUGAAAUGCUUAGAUAUCACGAAGAACUCCGAUUGCGAAGGCAGCCUGCUAAGCUGCAACUGACAUUGAGGCUCGAAAGUGUGGGUAUCAAACAGGAUUAGAUACCCUGGUAGUCCACACGGUAAACGAUGAAUACUCGCUGUUUGCGAUAUACAGCAAGCGGCCAAGCGAAAGCGUUAAGUAUUCCACCUGGGGAGUACGCCGGCAACGGUGAAACUCAAAUGAAUUGACGG